UCUCAAAGUUCUCUUAAUAAAAGAGUUCUUUCUUCCAACUACUAGUUUCCUUCGCCAAGUUUCUACAAGCUUAGUCUUUCUUAAGUUCUACUGAGCUUCCGGGUAGGCUAACUAGCUAACUUUGGCAUUGAAAAUUCGCUAGGCCGGACAGAUCGUCGUGUUUAAGUUACGGUCUCGUCACACUUUUGUCCUCUGCGUUUUCUUUUUUGUUCCCACUUUACAUUCUCUUCUGAGCGGGUGUAUUUAUAUUUUGUGUAUGACAACAACUAGGACAAUUAUCCUAUAUAGUCCCAUAAAGUGGGGUUUGAAGAGGGUAAUAUGUAGACAGGUCUUAUCCCUACCCCGAAAGACUGUUUCCAAUCGAUCCUCGGCUCAGUGAAGGAAAUGAACAACAAAAAUAAAAAUAAAAGAGCAUUAGUCCAAGAAAGGGUGCGUGAUGUGGUAAUACUCUAUUGGUAAAGAAAUAAUCACAAAUUUAUUAAGAGGAAAGGGCACGUGACAAGGUGGAAAGAAAGGAAAAAGGUUUGGAUUUUGCUUUCCAACUUUUGCCUUUGCUUUCAUUAUGACGUUCUUCCUUCUUCGUUUGUUUUGUUUUCCGUUUUUCUCUUCUUCUUUUUUUUUUGUUAAUUUUUCCUUCCUUUUUUUUAAAGUUAAAGAAAAUACUAAUUAUUUAGAUAAAAGGAAAAACUAAAAACAGAACAAAAUAACCAAAUCAAGGAAAUUAUAAUACUACUCAAGACUUAUAAAAAGUCUACAAUUUUAAAACUAAAUUAAAUAAAUAUCUUUUUUUGAAAUUUCUUCUUACCUUCUAUAAAUAAAAGUGUCAAUGCUAUUUUUUUUAAUAUUUUCAGGAGUAAAACUAAUUAGAUAAAAUAUCAAUUAGCUAGAAUAAAGCAAGAGUAUUUUUGUAGUUUUUUUAAGAUAAAAUAAAGCGAAAAGAAGUCAAAACUAGCAGAAGUAACAAAUUAGACCAAAAGAAAUAUAUAAGCACUAAGAUAUGUAAAAUUUUAGAGAAGGUAAAAAAUUACAUGUCUAGACUUCUUUCCCUUCUUCUGCUACAGGAUCCUUUCCGGAUAGUGAAGCUGUAGGAGAGGUGGAAUAUUCAUUGCCACUACCUGCAGCUGAGCCCUCAGGCAACUCAGAAAAUAUAUGCACUGAUGCUUGGACAAUGGAAGAGCCUGGAGAUGUAUCCCUCAACCUGUUCCUCUCUGUCUAGUCAGGAACAUACUUUGGUACGGAGUCUGAUGGUGCCUCCCGGGAAGGUGCAUAUUCACUUCUCGAUUGGUAAAUGGCUUUGUUAGUAGCUUUUAUGAGCCUCCUGGUAUUCUUGAUGUUUCGCCGGGCUUGCAUGGUCAAUCUUAUCAUGUCCCAUCUCUUAUCCCGAGAGGACUCUCUUUUGCUUUUUUGUUUAUCACUUCCGCCUUGUGAUUUCACCAUGCUAUGCAAGAUAAUACAAUCUCUGCUUGUUAGUAUCAGUAGAAUUAAUGAAAUUCAGAAUUGCAAGAAAAAUUAUUGUAGAUAGUCAAAUGUUGCAGAAUGCGAACCGCACAAAAUGAGGUGCGGCCGCAAAGAGGCUACCAU
rnacentral:lncRNA from 1 species